AAAGUGAAAUUAAUGUUUUUUUUUUUCUUUUUGGCUUGAUGAACACAUUCUAGAACUAGAACAUGUUUAUGGAUGCACAAUCUUGCAGAUAUACUAAAAAAAUUGAAUUGUACAGUUUCAGUGGGUAAAUAGUAUGGUAUGUGAAUUACAUCUCAAUUUUUAUAAGGAAAUGAAGAUUUCAGUUUUGAACAUGUUGCGUUUACUCUCCAGAUGUGAAUAUCAAGAAAUCAGUUCCAUUGAUCCGUCAGUACCUCUAGUUCAUUUCCAGCAGCAAUAGAAAUAAUUUUAACUGAUUCUUACACUGAUUCCUCUUUGACUAUGGUGGUGUUUGAGCUUUUGUACAUUUGCAAAGCUCUCCAUGUGCUAUAAGCCAGCCAUCCCUAAGAAGUCUUACCACUGCUUUUACCAAGGCUUCCAGAACUACAUGGAUCACAACCACCAGUUCCACAGAUGUGAUUGAUACAUGUAAGCGUUUACUGAGAUUAACAAUGCACCAGGCACUUUAUAUAAAUUAAUAAUAAUCUGCAAAAAUCCCUGCAAGUUAUCUAUUAUUACAUUUUAUAGAUGAAAAACUGAGUGUCAGAGAGUUUAAAUAAGGUUUGCAAGGUUAUACAACUUGUGACUUAAAGGGCUACAUGAUGUUACCUGUAAUAUUACAUAGACGGUUCUCCUUUGGAUAGAUUAAAACCAUGGCUAUCAAUACAGGCAGCACAUUUAAAUCACUUUUUAAAAAAGAGGGAAUAGUUAGGUACCUUCCCAAACCAAUUAAGUCAGAACAUCUGAAGGUAGAGUUGAAGCAUUAGUUCUUUAAUCUCCCUAGAAAAGUUUAUCACGUACUAAAAGCUAUUCUUUAAGAGAACCUUGAGAUUUGACACCUCUUUUGAGUCUUUCAGAACAUGCGUGUUUCAACAUGCCCUUGGUUUCUAUGAUAUAAAUUAUAUUACAAUAUAUUCAACUUAACCAAUGUGAAGCAUUCCAUGGUGAUGGAAAGGACCUCAUUGGAUCAUUUGUCUCUUCUCAUGGGUCUUUAUGAUGAAAAAAAGCUUUCUUACAAUGAGAAAAUUCUCCUAAGACUACACAACUGAUUUCUCAUUAUGGGUCAUCAUAGUGUUAAUCCUUUAAUUCCUUUGUUUGUACCGUCAUUGCAGUAUACAAAGGCUCCCACAAUUCAUACAGUAACUCAUUUGGUGUGCCCGUUAGGAAAAGGAAGAAAGACACAUGUUGUUUAAUGGAAAUGUUUGAUUUCUUUUGUUAAUUAUUGGAAUUAAGUUUACAUAAACUUUGAGAAAUAGUAUAUUAGAAAUAUCAAGAGUUUGAUAAGCUUUAAAGUUUUGAUAGAAAUACAUGUUUAAAUCUACUCAACUGUAAAAGACAAAGGUUCAUGUGAUCUUAGAUUGUAUCCAUCCAUUAUAUCUGUAUUUUUAUACACUACAGAAUAGAAUUGAAAUACAUGGCUUGCAAAUUGGGCACCCUUAAGAACCAUGAAAGGCUAUGGCCAUCAUUUUCUUGCCUGCCUGGAAAAAGAAGUCAUUGAACAAUUAUUUAUUGGGUGAAUCUAUGACUAUGUGUAUGUGUAUAUCUAUAUGCCUGUGUAUUCUCAAUAAAUUAUAAAUUCCUUGAGAGCAGAGAAUCUCUUUUCAUGUUUUUAUAUUUGCUACUUCUCCCAGAAUGAUCUAGAUACAUAAUAAGUUGUCUAAUAAAUAUAACCUAAAUGUUAUUUGAUAUUUUACUGUCUUCAUUAUUCAGUGAAACAUAAUUGGUAAACUAUAAUAUGAAAAAAAACAUAUUCUCUUUCAAGAAAAUAUAGAAGUUUUAAAUUUUUUUCAUUCUUAUUUCUCUCAUCUUUCCUCAUAAAAAUAGAUGACUUGGAAGGUAUCUCCAAAAAUUCAGGAAUGUAUUUUAAGUAAUUUGAAAAGGAAUAUAAGAAUAAAAUGCCCAUUUUGGGAGAGAUCUCCUUGAAAUACCUGCAAAACCAUUUCUUUUCCAAUAGCCUUGAUACUCAAAUUGUGCUCUGCAUAGCAGCUGUGGUGCUAUCUGCUGAGUGUUUCUUAUAACUGCAGAAACUGCGAGCCCACUGUAAGCAUGCUAAUCCAGAAUAUUCACUUAAAUUUGAGAAACACUAAUGUACACUAUAUUCCCAUUUCUUCUUUACUUGAUUUUUUGCGCUUCAAAAUAAAAAAAAAAAAAUGGGGGGUGGGUAUGGUUGUCCUCUCAGAAUGUUUUCUGCCUAGGGCAUAUUCCCAAGAGGUAUCCUUUAAAACAUUUGUUCAGGUAUGAGCUAACAGAGCUUCUGGAAAGUGGACCUGUUGUGACAAAUAAAUAUCAUGUGUGUAGACCAGUGGAGAAAGGUACCAUUCGCUAAUAAUUUUGAUAACCAGGAUUUCUAUGAUAUAGUGUUUCAUAACCUUUCCGGGGGAGGUUAAAGGCACUUCUCCUGUCUGUUCAUCUGGUGGCAAAGUAGAAGUACCCCCUGCACUCUGUCUAUAGUCAUGGAGAAUUUUCUUGAAGCCCAAGAGGUUUUCAAAUUAUUUUGUUUCACCUAGACAAUGUCCUCCAUAUUCUUGGGUCUAAAGGAGGGUAAAACAAAAUUCAGGCAAAACCAUAUAUUUAGACAGCCAUAAACUCUUUACCUUUUUAGAAACACUGUUUCUUUUUUAAAUUCUAGUUGCCUUCAUUUUUCAUUCAGAUGCUUCAGAUUGCGUUGCAGCAAAGAAACGUAAUCAGUUGACCUGAUAUUCUUAAAAUCAACAGACCAAAACACAUUUUAUUAUGAAUUCCUUUAAUGUUUUCUUCUUUCUGUGUUUUAAUAUACAGUAAUUUUAUUCUUCAUUCUUCAUUCAGAUGCUCAAAUUGUGCUGCAGAAGAGAAGUGUAAUCAGUUGACCUGAUACUCUUAAAAUCAAUAGAUAAAAACAUAUUUGAUUCUGAAUUCCUGUAAUGUUUUCUUCUUUAUAUGUUUUAAUGUACAAUAAUUUCCAGCCAUUGUUUGUAGUUUGAUAUAUUGAAUGACCUUUGGACUAGAAGUAGGUAAAGAACUCACAUCCUAAUGCCAGCCCUUGCAAUUGCUGGACAUAUGACCCUAUGCAAGUGAUCAGUGUCCCUGGGUGAGGAUUGCUCUUCUUAAAAAUGACAGUGUUGGGAUAGAUAGUCUCUGGAACAUCCACCUCCAUGAUUCCAUGAGGCCACACUAGCCUCAUUUUCAUAAAGCUUUGAAUAAAUCUCAUUUCUAUCCACAGAUGAAUGGAUUAAGAAGAUGUGGUAUAUAUACAAUGGAAUAUUACUCAGCCAUAAAAAAAGAACAAUAUGAUGGCAUUUGUGGCAACAUGGAUAGAACUAGAGAGUCUCAUACUAAGUGAUGUGAGAAAGAGAAAGACAAAUACCAUAUGAUAUCGCUAGUAUGUGAAAUCUAAAAAAUGGCACAGAUGAUCCAAUCUACAAAACGGAAACAGAUCAUGUAUAUAGAGAGCAGACUUGUGGUUGCCAGGGGAGUGGGGAGGGAGUGGGAUGGACAGUGAAUUUGGGGUUAGUGGAUACAAACUGUACCACUUGGAAUGGAUGGGCAAUGGGCUCCUGCUGUACAGCACAGGGAGUUUGUGUGAUUGGUUCACUCAGCUGUACAACAGAAAUUGAAGAAACAUUAUAAACCAACCAUACUUUAACAAAAAAAACAUAAAAAUAAAUAAGUCCUCUUGCUUCUG
rnacentral:lncRNA from 1 species